GGAACAGGGACAUGGGCAACAUGGUCGCGGCGGCGAGCGACUCGUUCUGGAACGGCGCCGUGUGCGGGCGCUGCUACCGGGUGAAGUGCACCGGCGCGGCGUACGGCGGGUCCGGCAACCCCUGCAAAGGCGGCAGCAGCGUCGUCGUCAACUCAAGAUCGUGGACGAGUGCGCCAGCAGCGGCGACGGGUGCCAGAGCACCAUCGACCUCUCCAAGCAGGCCUUCGCCAAGAUCGCCAACCUCGACGCCGGCGAGGUCAAGGUCGACUUCAACUCCGAGGGUUGCCCGUAGGGGUGUUGGAGAGCUCGAGGAUGUCACAUGCUUCGUUUGAGACUACUUUCCAAAGACGAGGCAUACAUAUACAAAUACAAACCUGCAAUACGUACGCACGGCAAGCCUUGGCGAGGAUUGGAUGCCUGAAUAAUGCUCGUAUCCGUGCAACUCUCAUUAUAAGAAUAUAUAUACCCCCUCUGUCAGACAUCUUGAAGACUUCAUGACAAAUUAGUAGUAAGAUUAACAAAAGACACAUGCAUGUAACCAUGAGUAUAGCGUGGAGAAUUGUGUUUCGUAGUUGUUUUAAUAACAAGGGACUGCCGAUA